GAUGAACGCUGGCGGCAUGCCUAACACAUGCAAGUCGAACGGGCGGAGGUGUUUCCAGUGGCGGUCGGGUGAGUAACGCGUGAGAACCUGCCCUUGGGAGGGGAACAACAGCUGGAAACGGCUGCUAAUAGACCGCAGGCCGAGGAGCGGAAGGAGGAAUCAGCCCAAGGAGUGGCAAGCGUCUGACUAGCUAGCUGGUGAGGUAAUAGCUUACCAAGGAGGUGAUCCGUAGAUGUUCCGAGAGGAUGACCGGCCACACUGCGACUGAGACAAGCAGUAGGGACCUUCGGGAGACAGGAGAAGGCCAGAUUCCGCAAUGGGGCAAGGCUGAACAAGGUAUUGCGACGGGAAAGUAAUGGGACUACGGGUGAAGAUCUGCUUUUCCUGGAGAAGAGACAAUGACGGUAUCUAGUGAAUAAGCAUCGGCUAACUCUGUG
rnacentral:rRNA from 1 species